rnacentral:tRNA from 2 species
GGGGCUAUAGCUCAGAUGGUAGAGCGCUUGCAUGGCAUGCAAGAGGUCAGCGGUUCGAUCCCGCUUAGCUCCACCA